rnacentral:hammerhead_ribozyme from 1 species
AUCCAGCUGACGAGUCUGAAAUGGGACGAAAUGCGCGUCAAACUGGAU